CUCACUAUCAUUUUGUUACAGGAGAGGGAGCAAAGACAUGUUUUGGGUGACUGGUGAGGCCUGAAACACAUUAUCUGUAGGGUGGUAUGAUAAACACAGAUGCCUUUCAAGGGAUGGAAAAUCCAGCAAUGAAUAUGAAAGAGACAGGGAAUGUAUAUACCCAGAAGAAUCUACAGCACUGAUGCAGAAGAGCAAAGAACAAUAAGGGCUGGUUUGGUACUCAAAGUUUUGUGCAAGUCGUAAAUGAAAACAUGGUCCUGC